UGGCUUCGAAGCAGUUGACUGUUUCGGUAUGCAGCCAAUUGUGGAGCCUGACCUUGGGUUAUGCGAUAACCUCAAACCGAAUAGGUUUUUCUAAACCGAAAGAAAACGCUUUAC
rnacentral:sRNA from 27 species